GGGGGCGUAGAUCAAUUGGUUAGAUCGCCACUCUGUCACAGUGGAGGUUGCCGGUUCGAGCCCGGUCGUCCCCG
rfam:Parcubacteria group bacterium RIFCSPHIGHO2_01_FTLL_47_10b rifcsphigho2_01_scaffold_4123, whole genome shotgun sequence.